AUUCCGCAUUCCCAGCCUGGGGGCGCACGCGGCUCCUUAAUGAGACUCGGGCCAAGGGCCUACCUCGCGAUUCCGCUCGCACCUAUUUUAUGUUUGAUUUUUCCUUCCCAACGCCGGCUAGCGCUGGGACUCAAAUGGGGCCGGCCAGCUGCGGCGGGAGGAGCCUACACCUCCCCCAGCUGCGUUUCUCCAGGGUAGACGCCACCGCAGUCACUGAUGUCCCUUUUCAAAGGAUGUACGCUCCCCACCGGGCGCCGGAGGUGUUUUGCAGCCGCUCUUCCAGAGGCGCGGGUAGGGGGCACCUUACCCCCAUCCCCAGAGUUCGCUGGGCACUGGCUGGGAAUCAGCCUUGCUGCUGUGCCCAGCUCCUCUAGGGCCGCGGGGGCUCUGGGGCUCAGCUUCGUGCGGGAUGGGUCCGGGGCGCAGCUGUGGGAAACCUAUUUAUUCCGUUGCUGGAGAAGGAAGAGGGAGAAGAGGAGGGGACAGUGCUUUGCUACAGUAGUAUGGUGCAUAUCUCCAACAUCACAGGCAUUGUAGGUACAACAGUGAGCAAGACAAAACUAGCUCUUGUCCUCAUGGAACUUACUUUCUAGAAGGGAAGGCAGAACUAAGCUUCUAAUUGCUUGCAAUUGUGGUGUGAUUUGACAUCACGCACUUUGCUCAUCUUAUGGAGAAGACUGAGGCCUGUGGUUGGAAAGGGCGAGGGAGCAGCCUGCUAUCUUUAGAGAAUACAGUUUCAGCCCCAAGUUCUUCCUGUACCUCCGAUAUGGAUCUACCCUUCCUGGAUUGAAGCCUUCUGCCAAGUCCAUGGGCCUGAUGAUCCUCUGACUCUCCAAAUGCCAGAUUUUCCUCCUCCUUGCCUCAGGGAAGUGAAGGGCAGCCGAUAGCCCACCUGGAGAAUAAAAUAUGACUCCAACCUCUAGUGCUCCAUGGACCUGUCAUUCUCAGCAGUGUAAAUCCUACUGCUCAGAGAGAAGGCAUUUGGCACAAGGUAGACAGCCAGUUGUUUCAGCUAUUCCAAUCCUGCACAUCAUUUACCUGGAAAGGGGUUCUAUACAUUCCCUCUGCCUUUCCUACUACCCCAGCAGACUGCCCUCGGUCUCACCUGUUAGUCCUAGUUACGGAUUCCCAACCAGCAAUGCCACUGGGGCUUAGAUAAGGGGAAGUCAGAGGAGCCACCCCAACUGGAGCCCGGGCUGGAGAGAGGACCUGGCAUGUGUGUACUCUUCUAUCCCAGAUGAGCACCUUAUCAACUUAAGGUGGUAGUGUCUUUGCUGUUUCCAUUCUGUUUGUGUCUUUCUGGACAGAGGAUUGGCAAUGGUUGGAGGUUAUCUCAGUCAACAGUUCCCAGGUGAUGCCUGGAGGAGCCCUGUCCUCCUGCCAAGAAGCCAGGCAGUAAGCAGGGUUCAGUCCCAGGCCCCAGUGCCCUGCAUGGAUGCUUAUCAAGGACCCAUACAUAAACUGGCACCCACUUCCUCCCAUGCCUGACCUGCCCUAAAGAUAGGCCAGGUGACAUCUGUCCUUCAGCAUGCCUCUGUUUUUCAGAAUGCCUACCAUCAGGAGACAAUCAGAUGAGCCAAUGUGGAGCAUCAUGAAGACACGUUCCUGGGAUCAUCCUGGAAUCCUGCUCUGUCUCAGGUCAAGGGGGUUCCGAGAUUUCCUAAGCUAGCCCUCUCAUUUUACAGCUGCAAAAAUGGAAGCCUGUUAAUUCAGUCAUUUUAUGAAAGCCUUUGAAAUUUUUAUUGAGCUCUAAUUGUGUGUGAAGCAUUAUGGAAUGCUUCUGUACUGGAAUGCAUAGGUUGGACAAGACAGAUAAGGCCCAGAUGGCAGAAGUUCAAGAGCUUUCACCAACCCAUAUAGAGAACCUAGGAAUAUUAAUGACUAAUGUUAAUGAAUACAUGAUUUUUACGUGCCAGUCACUGUGCCCGGCAUUUUGCAUGCAUUAUCUGAGUCCUCACUACAAUGCUGUUAAGUAGGUACUGUUAUUAUUACCAUUUUCCAGAUGAGAAAACUGAGGCUCAGUGAAGGUAAGUUUCUUGCCUAGGGUCAUAGAGCUAUAAAGUAGCAGAGUCACAACUCAAAACCACAUAUAUGUGAUUCCAAAGCUCAGGUACGUAACCCAUUUAGCCACUUUCACUGUGAUAUGCAAGGGCCCGGGAUUUCAUAUAUGGCAAAGCUAUCAUUUCUGGGUGGACAUGUUUAUGGGCAGUGGGGUACCAGGCAUAAAUAGGCCGUUCAACGCCGGGAGGGCAGUGUGAGGAGGCCAGCACAGGGGCUCUGGGAACAUAGGCACCUCUGAUGAGAAAGUAGUGUUCUUUCUGCAGUACUGUUCUGAGUAGCUCAGCCUCUUGUUCCCCUUCCCCAGCAUCCAGAGUCGAGUCACACCUACAUGCUGUUAGACAUUCACCCCAUUUAGUACACAGUUAUGCAUACACGUGGCUAUUGAAGCAAUUGUCCAGCCUUCACCCUGCAGCUGGGCUGCUUUGCCUUCCCCUAUAGGCUGAGCUCCCAGCUCAGAUUCCAGGACCAAUAGCUAUUUGUGGCUCAGGAGAAUGCCAGCAGUGAAGGGCAGCAUGGCAUGAUGGCCAGCACGUGGCUUUUCCAAGCAGAGACCUGGGUUCCUGUCCUAGAAGGCAAGGCAACUGUAUUAGUUUGCUCAUGCUGCUGUGACAAAAUACCACAGACUAAAUGGCUUAAAUGACAGAAAUUUUUUUUCUCACCGUUCUGGAGGCUGGAGUCUAAGAUCAGCAUGCUGGCAGGGUUGGUUUCCUCUUAGGACUCUUUCCUUAGCUAGAAGAUGGACGUCUUCUUGCUGUGUUUUCACCUAUGGUCAUUUUUCUGUGUUCAUGAAUCAUGGUUUAUCUUCCUCUUCUUAUACAGGACACUAGUCAUAUUGGAUUCGGGCCCCAUGAAAAUGGUUUCAUUUUAACUUACUCACCUCUUUAAAGACCUUAGCUCCAAAGAUUGUUGCAUGCUGAGUUACUUGGGGUUGGAACUUCAACGUAUGAAUUUUGGAGGUAGAAGAUAUAUUUGAGAGUAAAACGGGGUUCUGUUAACCCAUUUAUGCCUGAGGUUGCAAUUUUUUGAAGUUUUGCAAUCAGAUCUUCGCAAUGACCUGGAGCAGUAGGAUAUAAAUAAUUCCCACAUGCUUAGCAUUCCAAUAAUGGAACACUAGGCAUAAAUGGGCUAAAAAUUACUUUGGAGCAGCAGUCUCAAGUGGACCGUUUAGGGCAAACUGGAACAUAUGGACACCCUAACAUUCUGGCCCCAUCACUUACUCUACAGCCAUCUUCUUUUAAACCACCGCACCUCUCUGAGUCUCAGUUUCUUCAUCUGUUGAGUGGAGAUAAUCAUACCAACUCCCCCAAGCAGGCACUUUUAAAAUCCUAGUAAAUGCAUACUGAUUACCUGACAGUACUGAGCACCACUGCGUGCUCUGUAAAGGUUAACCAUUGCUAUUAUUGAAACCGAACUGCUCACUGAGGUCUAUGGGCCUAUGUGAUUUGACCCCUAGCUGCUUUUCCAAAUUCAUUUCUUCCCCCUUCCCCCUCUCCCUUCUAUUUUAUUACACUGGCACCACAAAGGCCACCCAGCAGUCAUAUAUCAAGCACAUUCCUGCCUCAGGGCCUUUGUACCUGUUGUUGCCUCCACCUGGAAUGCUUUUCCCCUAACCCCUUGCUCCUUUACUUCAUUCAGGUUUUUGCCCAACUGCCACUUCCUCAGAGAUACCUUCUGAUGUAUAUGAUGAGCUGAUAUAAAAUAAUGCAACUAUUGUUCUACCUCCAUUGCUUUAUUCUUUUACGCUACUUUAAUUGGAUUCAUAGCAGUUGGUAUUUUAUUUUAUAAUUUGCCUGUGUAUCUAUCUGUCUCUUCCGAUAGAAUGUAAGCUCCCCAAGGGCCAAGAUUCUGUAUGAACCAUUCACCAACCUAUUCCCAGUGCCCAGAAUGGUGCCUGGCAUAUGUGCUCAACAAAAUAAACUGACUGGAUUAUUUAUCCAUAUUCACUU
rnacentral:lncRNA from 1 species